AGCGAACGCUGGCGGCAGGCCUAAUACAUGCAAGUCGAACGGCUCUUCGGAGCAGUGGCGGACGGGUGAGUAACGCGUGGGAAUGUGCCCUUUGGUACGGAACAACACAGGGAAACUUGUGCUAAUACCGUAUGUGCCCUUCGGGGGAAAGAUUUAUCGCCGUUGGAGCAGCCCGCGUUGGAUUAGGUAGUUGGUGAGGUAAAGGCUCACCAAGCCUACGAUCCAUAGCUGGUCUGAGAGGAUGACCAGCCACACUGGGACUGAGACACGGCCCAGACUCCUACGGGAGGCAGCAGUAGGGAAUCUUGCGCAAUGGGCGAAAGCCUGACGCAGCCAUGCCGCGUGUAUGAUGAAGGUCUUAGGAUUGUAAAAUACUUUCACCGGGGAAGAUAAUGACGGUACCGGAGAAGAAGCCCCGGCUAACUUCGUGCCAGCAGCCGCGGUACU
rnacentral:rRNA from 1 species